rnacentral:lncRNA from 1 species
AAAAAAAAAAUUAUAUAAUUAUUGAACUAAAGCUGUGCUGGUGGUUGCCUUCACCAUCUCUGUUUUUUUGUUUAUUUUAAGGGGACAACAAUUUAUGAUAAUUAUUUUCUCCCUCAAGUAUUACCUCAACAAACUAUUAGAAUUAUUUUUAAAAAAAAGAAAAUUAAUUAAUUGAAAAUUAAUACGUUUUAAUAAUUUAAAUUUUCAAAACACGUUUAAUAACCCACAAUAAAAAUGAUUAGAUAGACUCUUUUCCAUAAAAAAAAUAAA